UACUCCUACGGGGAGGCAGCAGUAGGGAAUCUUCCGCAAUGGGCGAAAGCCUGACGGAGCAAUGCCGCGUGAGUGAUGAAGGUUUUCGGAUCGUAAAGCUCUGUUGCCAGGGAAGAACGCUUGGGAGAGUAACUGCUCUCAAGGUGACGGUACCUGAGAAGAAAGCCCCGGCUAACUACGUGCCAGCAGCCGCGGUAAUACGUAGGGGGCAAGCGUUGUCCGGAAUUAUUGGGCGUAAAGCGCGCGCAGGCGGUCAUGUAAGUCUGGUGUUUAAUCCCGGGGCUCAACCCCGGAUCGCACUGGAAACUGCGUGACUUGAGUGCAGAAGAGGAGAGUGGAAUUCCACGUGUAGCGGUGAAAUGCGUAGAGAUGUGGAGGAACACCAGUGGCGAAGGCGACUCUCUGGGCUGUAACUGACGCUGAGCGCGAAGCUGACCAGAAGUU
rnacentral:rRNA from 1 species